GUAGGUGGCAAGCGUUGUCCGGAAUUAUUGGGCGUAAAGCGCGCGCAGGCGGUUCUUUAAGUCUGAUGUGAAAGCCCACGGCUCAACCGUGGAGGGUCAUUGGAAACUGGAGAACUUGAGUACAGAAGAGGAAAGCGGAAUUCCACGUGUAGCGGUGAAAUGCGUAGAGAUGCGGAGGAACACCAGUGGCGAAGGCGGCUUUCUGGUCUGUAACUGACGCUGAGGCGCGAGAGCGUGGGGAGCAAACAGGAUUAGAUACCCUGGUAGUCCACGCCGUAAACGAUGAGUGCUAAGUGUUAGGGGGGUUUUCCGCCCCCCUUAGUGCUGCAGCUAACGCAUUAAGCACUCCGCCUGGGAGUACGGCCGCAAGGCUG
rnacentral:rRNA from 1 species